rnacentral:rRNA from 1 species
UACGGAGGGUGCGAGCGUUGUCCGGAAUCAUUGGGCGUAAAGGGCGCGUAGGUGGCCCGGUCAGUUCGUGGUGAAAGCGCGGGGCUCAACCCUGCGUCGGCCAUGAAUACUGCCGCGGCUGGAGCACUGUAGAGGCAGGCGGAAUUCCGGGGUGUAGCGGUGGAAUGCGUAGAGAUCCGGAAGAACACCGGUGGCGAAGGCGGCAAUCCUGGACCAUUACUGACGCUGAGGAGCGAAAGCCGGGGAGCAAAAGCGGGAUUAGAAACCCCGA